rnacentral:lncRNA from 1 species
GCGAGGUUAGGGAUGGUGCUGGACGACAAAUCAGGAGUUUGGGUCGCGCGGGGGUGGUUUUGGGAUGGUGAUGGGUGGCAGAUACGGGUAUGGGUGCCAAAGAUAUGGUGGAGGUGAAUAAACCUUCAAAUUGCUCCUAGGAAGAGCUCCUGCUACUCAAACUCCAUAUCCAAAUACAACAAUAAGCAAUUGUUCUUAUUUUUCCUCUUUGUUGUUUUGUUU